GACGAACGCUGGCGGCAUGCCUAAUACAUGCAAGUCGAGCGAACAGAUGAAGUGCUUGCACUUCUGACGUUAGCGGCGAACGGGUGAGUAACACGUAAGGAAUCUACCUAUAAGCGGGGGAUAACAUUCGGAAACGGGUGCUAAUACCGCAUAAUAUCUUCUUCCGCAUGGAAGAAGAUUGAAAGACGGCUCUGCUGUCACUUAUAGAUGACCUUGCGGUGCAUUAGUUAGUUGGUGGGGUAAUGGCCUACCAAGACGAUGAUGCAUAGCCGACCGGAGAGGGUGAUCGGCCACAUUGGGACUGAGACACGGCCCAAACUCCUACGGGAGGCAGCAGUAGGGAAUCAUCCGCAAUGGGCGAAAGCCUGACGGAGCAAUGCCGCGUGAGUGAAGAAGGCCUUCGGGUCGUAAAACUCUGUUAUAAGAGAAGAACAAAUUGUAGAGUAACUGCUACAGUCUUGACGGUAUCUUAUCAGAAAGCCACGGCUAACUACGUGCCAGCAGCCGCCGUAA
rnacentral:rRNA from 1 species